CGCCAAGANGGCCGCCACCACCCCAGGGAC
rnacentral:tRNA from 1 species